rnacentral:rRNA from 1 species
UACGAAGGGGGCUAGCGUUGCUCGGAAUCACUGGGCGUAAAGGGUGCGUAGGCGGGUCUUUAAGUCAGGGGUGAAAUCCUGGAGCUCAACUCCAGAACUGCCUUUGAUACUGAGGAUCUUGAGUUCGGGAGAGGUGAGUGGAACUGCGAGUGUAGAGGUGAAAUUCGUAGAUAUCGGGAGGAACACCGGUGGCGAAGGCGGCGACCUGGGUCGAUACUGACGCUGAGGCGCGAAAGCGUGGGGAGCAAACAGG